UAGGGCCCCUUUGACAGCUUUGGAAGUUCCCACAUGGAAGGAAGGUUGAAUCAUUCUAUUCCUCACUUGACUUAUUUGGAUGUGAAGUCAUUUGGAAGGGGUUCAGGCACAAGCUGAUGCCGCUGGCUCGGGGCUCCAAGUUCUCAGGAGAGUGCCUGGAGAACAAGGUCAACACAACCCAUUUCCAUGACUGCACACAAUGGCCCAACGGCACACCUAGCUAGUUCAUUUAUAAAGAACACCUGGUCCUGCUGGCGAGCUGAUUCAGGAGGAGCUGAAAGAAAUGAUGAACUGGAGGAUUUCUAUGUGAAUUGGAAAGACCCCCAGGAAUUGAUUCAGAGCAGAAAUUGAUGAAAGAAAAGGAGUUUGCUUACUUGUCCUGAGAAGAGAAGACCUAGGGGAGAGAGGAAAGAACCACAUGAUAGUUGACUUUAAAUGUUUGAAGGACUGCCCCUUAGAAGAAGGAUGAGUCUUGUUCAGCUUGGCCUCAGAAGAGAGAACCAAGAACAAUGGGUAGGAGUUUCAAAGAAAUAAGCAAAAUGUCCUAAUAAUUAGAGCUAUUUCAAAAGUGAAAUAGUAUGCCUCAAGAGAUAGUGGAUCCCCUUUUACUAGAAAUCUUUAUAGAGAGACUGGAUGACCAUUUGUCUAUAAGGGUGGGGAGUGUCAUUUGAAUCAAUCAAUCAAUUAUUCCAUUCCUCUUUGAAAAACCUGAUGAAAUGCUCUGGCUCUGAUACCUUUAUCAAUUGAGGACACCUCCAUAGAACUGCUCACUCAAUCGAAGGCAUCAAACAAGUCCUUAAUCAAUUUGGAAGUAGCAAAAACUAUUGAAUGGAAUGAAAUGAUUCUACUCAGCAAGUAUAUUGGGAUUGGCUAGGGAGAUUCAGUCAUUCCAUGGGGGACUUGUAUAAAAACAAAAAGCUAGCUUGGAAUUGGAUAUUUCUAACAGCCAGCAAGCAUAGAAAGGAAUUCCAGCUUCGCCUUUGAGAUGCAGUCCCUUGGGGAGAAAGAAGGAGAGAGAGCUUUUGUUUCCUGCUCUGUACCCCCAACCUGAGGAUGAUCUUAUGAACUUCAAAGGGUUGGGAGAUUUGGGACUUCCCAUGGGUGUCCUACUACUAUCCUGGACACAGCUGUGGCUGAAGGCAACAUCUGCGCUGGGAGGUGAGGAUAAACUAGUCUAGGAAGUAGCAAAUUACAAAUGUAAAAACCACUUUUAGCUUGUGGGCUAUACAAGAACAGGUGGCAGGCCAUAGUUGACCGUGGGCCAAAACAAGUUUGCUGACCCUGAAUUAAAUACUCUGAAGAAAGACAGUUUCAGGAUUCCAUUAGAAGACAACAGAACUCUAUACCAUGCUUAAGGGGGAACGUAAUGAAAACCCUAUAAGGAGAGAAAAGAACUUCCAGCAACUAGGAGCUACACGUUAAACCCUUUGAUACAUUUGCAUUCAAAAUUUGGGUCUACUUUCCCCUUGUGCUUCCAGUUUGGGGUUAUGUUUAUAACAGCUCUUCCUAUUAUAUGACUUCAGGAAAUACCAAUUUCUAAAUGUUGGUUGUCAGUGUGGCUCACAGACGUCAACUGAUAAGUGACAGAGGAGUGGUGUACUGAUGGGGCUCAAGGACCGCCUCAAUUCCUCAGGGUUAACUCUAGGGGAGCAGGAGCCAGCUUUAAUAGCCAUCCAACCUGCCAGUUUGGUUGGGGUUGAGAGAGUGAACUCGGAACCUGUUUACAUGUCAGUUAUAUUAUAGAAGGAAUUCUUCUUCAAGUAUGGAUUGGUUUUAGGUGGUUUCAAAGAUUCUUUCCCAUUCUGAGAUUCUGUGAUUCUUUAAUUCUAAGUUUGUGGAGGAAUAGGGAGCUACUGAAGAUUUUUUUUAAAGAAGAUGAAUGAUAUCAAUAAGCUAGGCAGAAUAUUAUUUGUCUUACUUUAACACCAACAAAACAAAGUAGAUCAUGAAUUCUCAAUAAUGUGAUCAUUAGGAACUGUCUUCAUCCCAGAUAAUUAGAGACUUCUAAGUGGUCUUUUUUUUUUUUUAAAAGACCCUUGACUUCUGUCUUAGAAUCAAUACUAGAUAUUGGUUCCAAGGCAGAACAGUGGUAAGGGCUAGGCAAUGAGGGUUAAGUGACUUGCCCAGGGUCACAGAGCUAGGAAGUGUCUGAGGCCAGAUUUUUUUUUUAACCCUUCCUUUCCAUCUUAGAUGAUGGAUACUGGAUACUGUGUAUUGAUUCCAAGGCAGAAGAGUGGUAAGGGCUAGGCAAUGGGGGUUAAGUGACUUGUCCAGGAUCACACAGCUAGGAAGUAUCUGAGGCCAGAUUUGAACCUAGGACCUCCCCUCUCUAGGCCUGGCUCUCAAUCCACUGAGCCCCCCUGCUGCCCCCCUGCUAUCAUUUCAGCAUUUGCUUGGACACCAACCAAAUCCCAGAAGAAAUGACUUGUAGUUGAUAUCAAAGACAAUGGACAGAUGAAUAAAUAAGUCUGUAGCAUGUUCCUGUUAGUGACUUUUAGGGGAGAAAUAAAGUACAUUUUAGAGGAUGACUAUUUCCAGAAAAGGAUGUGAUUCUGGUAUAUAGCAAGGGUAUAUAGGCCUAAGAUAGGAACAGAGAAAAUGCUGCAUUAUUACCCUGAAAUAUAAAAGAAAUCAGAAGAUGGCUGCAGAGGUGUGAGAAGACCUUAAGGAAGUUUGAUAACAAGACUUAGACAAGAACUAAACAAGAUCAGAGGAUCUCCAAGAAUUGGGGGCAUUCAAGUUGGAAGGGAUCUUAGAAAGUCUCCUUAAUUCACAGAAGGAGAAAGUGAAAUGCAGAGAUGUUAGUGACCUGUUCAGGAAAAUACAAGUGGCAGAGACAGGAUUUGAACCCAGACUCUCUGAUUCUAAAUCUGUUUAGUUUAUGAUGAUGAUGAGAAAGUGAGAGUUUUCAUUGACACUGGUGGAAAGAAAGCCUUUGCCAGCAAGGGUUUAGCUAAAUGUGCAAACAUGGUUAGAUAUAAAAUAUCUAUGCCUUUGAGUAGGAAACAUUAAGUAUGCUGAUGUCAUGUAAGAAUUAUUGAUUUUCCUGGGCUAGUGGCAUAGGAAGUGUAGUAUUGCCAAGGCUUCAGUAAUUGUUCACUCUGUUAUAACUUGGUAUAGUGGGCCACAUCCUGAAUUUGGAGUCAGAGGACCUGAGUUUGAAUCUUGGAUUUGACAUUUAGUGACUCUGUGAUCUUGGGGAGAUCAUUUGACUUUCCUAAGCUUCUGUUUCCUCAUCUAUAAAAUGAGAGUGUGCUAAGGAUCCUUCCAAAUCUAAAUCUAUGAUCUAAUGAAUUAUGUGGUAUGAUAAUCACCUUGGUCAGUAUUCUAUUAUGCUAUCAAUUUUGUUUUUAUUUAUUUUAUUCUAUUAUUAUUUUAGAAUAUCUCCAUUUGAUUUUAUCAUCCUUAUUUAAUUUAGUUUGUGUUGUUUCUUUGUGAGUAGUCCCACUUUCUGCCUGAGGCCUUUCAUGCCUGGUUGCCAUUCUUGGAGAUGCCAUAAAAGCUUAGGAAGAUCCUUCUUCUGGUUGUACAUAAUUUAAAGACUUUCUAUGGGAAAAAAAUGAAGAGCUUUCUAACAUUUUCCAAAGUUGUGAGUACUUUUUCCUCCAAGAUUACCUUGAAUUAAAUUUGUAUUUGUCUUUCAUAUUGCUAAUGCUAUUGCUAUCUACCACAGAGACUCUUAUUGGCUCAGAUAAGUUGGUUCAGACCGCCUGAUCCUGUAUCCAUUCUGUAACCACUGAGGUUUUUGUGGGUUUAGAUCUGGAGAAGCCUGGCUUCUAAUUAGGGGGAUUAGGUUCCAUUCUCACCCUGUUUGACUAACAACUCCUCCUUCUCCUUAAUAUCCCAAGGUUAAUUAUGGUUUGAGUUAUGGCUCAUGUCUGGGUUUCCCCAAAGGGGAAAAUAGAAAGGAUACCUAAUGCAUAAUAAGAUUCCAGUAUGGAACAGGUAAUUUAUCCCUACAGAGAAAGCAAACACUAAGUCGAGAAAAAUAACAACAUGCAUUAAAUAGAACAAUUUAAAAAGGAUCCAGGAGCUUAAUUUAUUUCUAUGGGAGUCUGGUAAACUCACUAAGACAUAAAAUAAUUUGAAAGACUGCUAAUUAACUAUUGUACAUUCCAUCUCAACAUAGGCCCCGUCCAGUUAAAGAAUUAAGCUUGAUAUUCUUUCAGGUAGUGAGGACAACCUUUUUCUCCACAUACUAUUUCAUGCUUCUUAAAGCUGCUUCCUUUCUUAGGAGGCUGAUUUUCUGAUUCCAUCCUUCCUUUGUAAGUCUCUCUGUUCCCAAUGUAUAUACUCCCCAUUGCUAUCAUCUCCUAGAAUGCCUUUGGUUGCUACCACCACCAUCAAAAAUCCACAAACUUUUUAAACUUAUAAGGUUGUUGCCUCUCUUAAACAUAUGUCCCGUGGGAGAUGAGCUCGACCAAGAUGAAAAAAAAGAACAAACAUAAAAAGUAGGAGGGGAGAGUCAGGGCAACUGCCCUCAUAGCAGGAAGGCAAGAGAGAGUGACAGAGAGCUCAGUCACUUAUUUUGUUUAUCUGCUGAAUUUGGGGUCAGUAGCCAGUUAGGGAGAUCUUCAUCGUUUUCCCAUGGAAAGUCUUUAAAUUAUGUACAACCAGAAGAAGAAAUUUUCCUAAGCUUUUAUGCCAUCCCCAAGAAUGGCAAUCAAGCAUGUGAUAAGGAGGGGAUGGGGUGGCAUUGUAAGAGGGGGAAGACUCCAUUCCCUUUAUCACCUUUCUCCCCUUAUCAUAAAUUUCUCAUUUUACCCCUCUAUUAGAGCAUAUAUGUUGUCUUCUCUACUAGAAUGUAAACUCCUUUGAAGGCAGGGACUGUUGUCUUUGUCUGUGUAUCCCCAGCUUUUCUAGUUUGCCUGGCACACAGUAAAGUUUAAUAAAUGCUUGUUGAUUGAUUGAUUGAUAGUCGUAUAUACAUAUAUUCUUUUAUUGUGCACUUUCUGAAUCAAGAAUGGCAUUCUGGGAAUAGGGUUAUUAUAUGCUACCUAUGAUGGAAAUAGGCUGUGGGUAGAUCUAUGAUUCAGAUAUCAUUCACGUAAAUCCUACAGUUAAGUUAUGAAAUAUGAUGAGUCAACUACUUUGCAUUACUACCAGUAAGUCAAUAAGUAUCUACUAUGUACCAGGCACUGUGCUAAGCCCUGAGGAUACAAAGAAAGGCAAAAGAUAGUCCUUGCUCUCAAGGACCAGACUAAUGGGAGAAAGAACAUGCAAAUAACCAUGUACAAACCAUCUUGUUAAAUAGGAGAUCAUUGACAAAUUGGAGAUGAUAAAGAGAGAGAAGGCACUAGGAUUAAAGUAGAAUUGGGAAAGGCUUUUUGCAGAAGGGGGAUUUAAGUAGAUACCCAAAGCUACCAAGGAAACUGGGAGGCAGAGAUGAGGAAAGAGUUCCAGACAUAGAAAAGAGCAGAAAAAAUGCCCAGUCAGGCAGUAGAGUGUCCUCAGCAAGGGACAACCAGGAGGCCAUUGUCAUUAGAUCAUAGAGUAUGUGGAACAAGAUGGCAUCAGGGGUAAGAAUACUAGAAAGCUUGGAAGGUGUUGGAUUAUGGAGGGCUUUGUAAGCCAAACAAAGGAUUUUAUAUUAGAUCCUAGAGGCAAUGGGGAACACUGGCAUUUAUUGAAUGGGGGGUGGGUGAAAUGGUUAGACUAGUAUUUUAGAAAGUCUACUUUGACAGCUGAGGGGAGAAUGGACUGGAGUGGGUAGAGGUUUAUAGCAGGGAGGCCAUCUGGCAAAUUGUUGCAGUAGUCUAGGUAUGAUGUGAUAAGGGCCUGUACCAAGAGUGGUGGCAGUGUCAGAAGAGAAAAGGUAAGUGUUUGUAAGACAUGUUACAAAGGUAAAAUCAAUUAGACUUGACAACAGAUGGAAAUAGGGAGUGAGAGUUGGAGGAGUCAAGGAUGAUGGUGAGGUUAUAAGCCUACAUAACUGGCAGAAUGAUGGUACAUUCUAUAGUAAGAGAGAAGCUAGGAAGAGGGGAGAAUUUUUGGGAAAAGAUGAGUUCAAAUUACACUAAGAAAAUGAGUUAGAUAUUAGACAAGUCAAAUUUAGAAUGUUUACAAUUUAUCCAGGCAUGACCUGGAUGGAGAUCUAGCAAAGGAGAAUGAGAAGAGGUCAGACAGGUAGGAAGAGAACCAGGGUAGACCAAAAACUUAGGGGAAGAGAAUAUCAAGGAUAUGAGAGUGGUAGUGUUAAAGGCUGAAGGGAGGUCAAGAAAGAUGAGGAUUGAGAAAAGGCAGGAUUGGGCAAGUAAGAGAUCAAUGUGGGGAUAGUUAGGUAGUUCAGGGGAUUGAGAUCCAGUUCUAGAGACUUGUGUGAACUUUAUAUUAUUCCACCUAUUGGAGUAUUGUAAACACACUAUCCUCUUAGAAAAGCCUUUAAUCUUCUUCAAAGACCUUGUGGGGAGGUCUUUGAACUCCCUCUGGCACAGGCCAGCUGGGAGAAAUCCUAUACCCUCUUUCUCUCUCUUCUCCUUAAUUUCUUCCCUCUAUGUUAUUUAAAAUCACCAUGAAUUUCCAAACUGACUUGGGUAUUUUAUUUGGGAUUUUCUCUGGCCACCAAAUUAACUUAGAUUAGGGCACAACCCUAAAAUUAUCCUUACACUUGAGGUCUUGGGUUCAAAUCCAAACUCAGGCAUUUCUUAGUUGUAUGACCCUGGCAAGUCAAUGAAUCUCCAUUGCCUCGCCCUUACUGUUCUUUUGCGUUGGACAUUCUAAGAUGAAAGUUUAAAGGUUUGAGAGAGAGAGAGAGAGAGAGAGAGAGAGAGAGAGAGAGAGAGAGAGAGAAAUCAGUGUCAGUUAAAUGAUAAGGUCAGAAACCAGAUUGCAAAGAGAGUGAGAGGAGAGGAAAUAGAGUCAUCCUUCUCAAGUUUAGUUAUAAAAGGGAGAAAAGAUAUGGGACAAUAGCUAGGGGAGAUAGAUGGAUCAAGUGAGGGUCUUUUUUUUUUUUUUAAAGGAUGAGUGAUUUGUAGAUAGUCAGGAAGUGAUCAAUAGAGAGAAUCAAGAUAUUACCAACCAUCUAUUGUUAAUCUCAAUGAUUGUCUUUAAAUAUAAAAUUUGAAGAAGGUAUUUCUUGUUUAACAACAUUCUGAACUUAAUGAAAUUGAUGAAAUCCCAUAUAUAUUAUGGGCAUGACAUAUAUAUUGAUACAUGUAUAUGUAUAAAUAUGUGUUUUUACAUAUGUGGGCAUGUAUGUGUGUGUGUGUGUGUGUGUGUGUGUGUAUAGCUAAAGAUUUCCUCUAGUGUUUGCCAUUCUGUGCUCUGCUGUUGCCAGCAGGACUGCUUAGCUUGACUCCCUCCCAUUAAAUGUGCCUGGACACAAGCAGCUGGCAAAGAUACGGCAAAUAUCAGCAAGUAAUUACCAGGUUCCAGAUUCCUGGUUCCAAAGCCCCUCUGAGGAUACUAACUCAGUCAAAAGAAACCAUUGAAUUGGGAAAGAAAUGUCUGCCAUAAGAACAAGCUACUAAUUGGCAAAUCAUUGCUGGGUAUUCCCAGGUAGCGAAGCCACCAGCAAAUACCUGGAGUGAGGCUUCAUUGUCAAGCCACAAUUAGACAUCUCAAUUUUUGGCUUUAUACUGUUCGCAACCUUCCUGGCCAAAGUUUUUGUAACAUAUUAAAAAAAUUUGCCAUUAUGUUUAAAUGAUGGCAAAACCACAAAACUAAAAAAAUAUCAGCAAUGAACUGUAAGCAAACUGGAUUUGUAUGUAAAGGUCAAAGCCAGUUGGGUCAUGUGGGUGACAAAACCAGUCACCUGUUUAUACUAUAACAUGUAUGGGCUACUUUGAGACCUCCAUGGGAUGACGGAUGGCGAAUGGAGGGGAUUUGUAGAAGCUUUGAGUGCUGAUCAGGAGUGGGUCCCAGCAAGCCUGCAGGGAAUAGUGUGCAUUGAGAGAGCUGGUGGGAGAUGCCAAAUCAGGGGAUUUGGGGAGACAAAGUCAAUUUCCAGGGUACAAAAUAAUGAUAUUGCUAAUCCUUUAGGAAAAGGGACUCUGUUAUAGCCUGGUGCAAUGGAAAGUACACUGGAUUUGGAUUCAGAGGACCUGGAUUUGAAUGCUGACUUUUAAUAUUGGCUACUUCUACAACCUUGGGAUAUUUAAUUAAUAUGAAACUGUGGGCCCCAUGAAGAGACCAAGAAUCUGAAAACUGCCUCAGCCAGCAAACAUUAAUGCUGUUUGCCAAGCAGGAAAAGAUGGCAAAGGUGUCACAGAAUCACGUCUGAUGCUCUGACCCUGUAUCCCAGAGCAGCUAGCAUUGGCAUGAACGUCCCCGGCGUCAGUGUACUAGAGUCAGCAUAACAUCAUCCAGAAGGGCAGACAGCAUGACAUUUGAGAGCCAUCAGCCAAGGAAAGGGAGGUUUGAAAAUCAAGGGUGGGAAGGCAAGUGGCUCUCUUGGCUUCAGUACCUGUCUCUCUAGGCUGGCAUUUCUCUCUGAGCUUUUUCUUAUCUAAACUGGCCAUUUCUGGCAAUUGGGGCCCUCAGCCAUUUAGCUAAAUGGGGAAUCAGAUUUACCCAUAAAGUUAGAAAGGCUGAGAUCUCUCUCUCCCCCCUAUCUAUUCCUCUCUCUUUACUUAUACAUGCUUAUAAAUCAGGUAAUAAGUCUUCAGAUUAAUGUUUUUAGUAACACAAAGAACUGGAAAUUGAGGAGAUGCCCAUCAAUUAGGUAAUGGCUACACAAGUUGUGGCAUAUGAUUAUGAUGAACUUCUACCAUGCCUUUAGAAUUGGCAAGCAGCGUAAUUAAAAAAAAGACAUGGAAAGACCCACAUGAAAUUAUGAAGAGUAAAAAGAGUUAAAGAACCAAGAGAACUUUAUAUACAGCAACAGAAAUAUUGUUUGAAGAAUGACUUGUGUUUGACCACCUCCAGAGAAAGAAUUGAUAAACAGAAAUAAGCAAUACAUAGUUUUAUAUAUACAUGUAUAUUUUUGUCAAAUGAUGACUUUUCUAGUGUAGGGAAGAGGAGAGAGGGAGUUAUCUGGGAAUUUUAACGUAAUAAACAAAUUAACUAAAAGAAUGAAAACUUCUUGAGGGGGGGCACUUUUAUUUUUUGACUUUGUAUCUUUGUGCUUAGCACAGUGUCAGGUACAUAGUGGGCACAUAAUAAAUGCUUGGCUAAUGGACUGGUUGGUUUUUGACAGAGGAAAUGUCCUAUAUAGAUUGUAACACUACAAUACUUGAAGUGUUAAGUGAAGAAUUAGAAAAUGUAUGGAAGAAGAUGAAGUCAAGAAGAGUGGCGAUACCUCAUCAGAUAUGUACAGGAGAAAUCCAUACUAAAGGUGACUUAAUUUUAAAGUGAUCAUUUUCCAAACUAUCUCAAAGAGGGAAAUUAUUUUUUUAAAGGAAAAGAUCACAGAUGGCAUAUUA